GACGAACGCUGGCGGCGUGCUUAACACAUGCAAGUCGAACGAAGAGCGAUGGAAGCUUGCUUCUAUCAAUCUUAGUGGCGCACGGGUGAGUAACGCGUAAUCAACCUGCCCUUCAGAGGGGGACAACAGUUGGAAACGACUGCUAAUACCGCAUACGAUCUAAUCUCGGCAUCGAGGAUAGAUGAAAGGUGGCCUCUACAUGUAAGCUAUCACUGAAGGAGGGGAUUGCGUCUGAUUAGCUAGUUGGAGGGGUAACGGCCCACCAAGGCGAUGAUCAGUAGCCGGUCUGAGAGGAUGAACGGCCACAUUGGGACUGAGACACGGCCCAGACUCCUACGGGAGGCAGCAGUGGGGAAUCUUCCGCAAUGGACGAAAGUCUGACGGAGCAACGCCGCGUGAGUGAUGACGGCCUUCGGGUUGUAAAGCUCUGUUAAUCGGGACGAAAGGCCUUCUUGCGAAUAGUGAGAAGGAUUGACGGGACCGGAAUAGAAAGCCACGGCUAACUACGG
rnacentral:rRNA from 1 species